rnacentral:rRNA from 1 species
GAUGAACGCUAGCGGCGUGCCUAAUACAUGCAAGUCGAGCGAACGGACGAGAAGCUUGCUUCUCUGAUGUUAGCGGCGGACGGGUGAGUAACACGUGGAUAACCUACCUAUAAGACUGGGAUAACUUCGGGAAACCGGAGCUAAUACCGGAUAAUAUUUUGAACCGCAUGGUUCAAAAGUGAAAGACGGUCUUGCUGUCACUUAUAGAUGGAUCCGCGCUGCAUUAGCUAGUUGGUAAGGUAACGGCUUACCAAGGCAACGAUGCAUAGCCGACCUGAGAGGGUGAUCGGCCACACUGGAACUGAGACACGGUCCAGACUCCUACGGGAGGCAGCAGUAGGGAAUCUUCCGCAAUGGGCGAAAGCCUGACGGAGCAACGCCGCGUGAGUGAUGAAGGUCUUCGGAUCGUAAAACUCUGUUAUUAGGGAAGAACAUAUGUGUAAGUAACUGUGCACAUCCUGACGGUACCUAAUCAGAAAGCCACGGCUAACUACGUG